CAAACUCACUUUUCGUGAUGCAGUGCUCAGCGGGCAGUAGGCGCUUCUUGAGGAGGCCCUGCAGCACGGAGCGCACAGAGGGCCGGUGUACCAGCUGCAGCACAAAGAGCAGGCGGUGACAGUGAUCUGGAUGGUGUUCCGGCCAGGCUGGCAUACAUGCUUGAGGUGCAGGGGCUUGUGGGAGGUCUUGUUGUCUCCCCGCUCGAUCGUGAGGGGUGUGGCGUUGACGCUGACCUGAACCGAGGCUGGCCAGUUGGUGUUCAUCUGUCGAUCUUCAUGGUGGUAGCACUUGAACUGCAGCUCCAGGUUCAGAAGGACAAAAGGACAGAUGUUGUGGGACAAGACCAGUAGCAAGGCCCAUUGUGACCAUCUCCAGGUGGAGGCAGGAGCGUCAUCUUUGCACCAUGUUUGUCUGAGUGCUCAGAAGCCUCAGGCCUCCUGCCUUACAUCUUAGCUCCUGUCUCCCGAAUGCCACCCAGUUUUGCCUGCAACAGCCCACUGAUCAUCUAAAGCUGGAUCAAAAAGAAAAGCACUGCCUCCUUCAAGAUCUCAGAGGUCAUGUGCAGAGCCUCCUGGCCCAGGCACUUGAGCACAGCCCUAUGGGUGGGCAGCAUCAGACACUGGUCACCCCCUUGCACUUUAUUGGUGGAACACGUGGUUGCUGACGGCAAGGUUGUGCUCCAGGCGGAAGGGCUCCAGAACCACGCCAUCCCGCACGGGGAAUGUGAGCCGUAGCUCGUCAUUGUGGUUGGCUGGGCAAAGACAAGGAGCAGUGCCUGUGAAGGUCAGAAGAAUGUAUCAGAAUCCUGGAAUCAAGAGUUAUGGAUGAUUAUGAGCCAUCAUAUGGAUCCUGGGAACUGAUCCUGGCUCCUCUGCAAGAGCAAUAACCACCGAGCCACCUCUCCAGCUCCCCAACUUCUCUUCUUAGCUCUAUGGUCUCCUGCACACAAGACGCCCUCUCUACCUGUCAUAGGGAGAGAAUGAGCCAGAGAAUAUUAAAAGCCUCCACUUGCUUUGACAUCCAGGGACACUACAUGCUGCAGGUCCAGGC
rnacentral:lncRNA from 1 species